rnacentral:rRNA from 1 species
GAUGAACGCUGGCGACGUGCCUAAUACAUGCAAGUAGAACGCUGAAGCUUGGUGCUUGCACCGAGCGGAUGAGUUGCGAACGGGUGAGUAACGCGUAGGUAACCUGCCUCUUAGCGGGGGAUAACUAUUGGAAACGAUAGCUAAUACCGCAUAAAAGUCGAUAUCGCAUGAUAUUGAUUUGAAAGGUGCAAUUGCAUCACUAAGAGAUGGACCUGCGUUGUAUUAGCUAGUUGGUGAGGUAACGGCUCACCAAGGCGACGAUACAUAGCCGACCUGAGAGGGUGAUCGGCCACACUGGGACUGAGACACGGCACAGACUCCUACGGGAGGCAGCAGUAGGGAAUCUUCGGCAAUGGGGGCAACCCUGAGCGAGCAACGCCGCGUGAGUGAAGAAGGUUUUCGGAUCGUAAAGCUCUGUUGUAAGAGAAGAACGAGUGUGAGAGUGGAAAGUUCACACUGUGACGGUAACUGACCAGAAAGGGACGGCUAACUACGUG